GAACGCUGGCGGCGUGCUUAAUACAUGCAAGUCGAACGGAUGACGGAAGAAAGCUUGCUUUCUUCCUGAUUCAGUGGCGAACGGGUGAGUAAUACGUAGGCAACCUGCCCCAAAGCGGGGGAUAGCAGUUGGAAACGACUAUUAAUACCGCAUAGGUAAUCGGGAGGCAUCUCCUGAUUAUUAAAGGUGCGUUUGCACCGCUGUGGGAUGGGCUUACGCUGCAUUAGCUAGUUGGUGAGGUAACGGCCCACCAAGGCGAUGAUGCAUAGCCGGUCUGAGAGGAUGAACGGCCACAUUGGGACUGAGACACGGCCCAGACUCCUACGGGAGGCAGCAGUAAGGAAUUUUCGGCAAUGGACGAAAGUCUGACCGAGCAACGCCGCGUGAGUGAUGAAGGCCUUCGGGUCGUAAAGCUCUGUGGUAAAGGAAGAACACCAUGUUUAGGAAAUGAUUCAUGGCUGACGGUACUUUACUAGAAAGUCACGGCUUACUACGUGCC
rnacentral:rRNA from 1 species